UAAAGGUGCAUCACUGACGUUGAUUGGCUCUUCAGAAUAUGCUGUUCUUGGCAGGCCCUUUACACUAACAUGUACAGUGACAGAGGCUGAUUAUUUAGAUGAUAGAGUAAUAUUUUCAAGAACGAUCUUGAGCACUCCACUUGCAGCACUUUGGCAAAAUCUGGCUUCAUGUUCUAUGUUCAGUGAUGCACCAGGUUACACUGUAUCAUGUGGAAAUGGAACAGACAGCAGCUCGUCCAUCUCUAAGACGUAUACUCUGCGGAUUCACAAUGUUGCACAAAUUGAUGUCACAGUUUGGGCAUGUUGGCUUCAAACACCCAAGAUAUACAGCAACAAUAUUACUGUACAACUUCUCCAGUUCCCAGUCCAGAGAGUCAGGUUUCAGAAUCGACCAUUAGCAUAAUCGUAGUGGUUGCUGUUCUACUGGUCGUCGCCAUUGCAGUAUCUUGGUUCUGUUACAAGAGAAUGAAGCAGCAACCAAAAUCUGAGGAAGAGCAAACUGAAAAACCCCCUCAAGAGGCUGAAGAUGAAAAGGGCCAAUAGAUUAAUUAAUUGUGACAUUACUUUCAUGGAUUUCAUCAACCAUUUGACCGAUUAAUUGAGUACACGUUUUAUGAUCGAGUAUAGUUUUCCAUCAUUAAUGAUUUUCUGAUUAAUGGAUCCAUCAACAGUUUGACCGAUAAAUUACGUACAUGUUUGGUAAUCGAGUACAGUCUGUCAUACUAGUAACUAUUGUUGUACUGAUUAAUGGCGCACACGGAACACUGCCCCCACGUGAUCCAUUUACCUAACUGAUCGAGUACAGUCUGUCAUACUAGUAACUAUUGAUCUACUGAUUAAUGGCGCACACGGAACACUGCCCCCACGUGAUCCAUUUACCUAACUGAUCGAGUACACUUUUCAUGAUCAAGUACAACACAGACUAUUUCAAGUUGUUUCUCUUCUGGUUCUCUGGUGGUCAAUGCACUAACAAAUAUGUUCAGUGUUUGUUUAAAUUACUCAUUAUUCCAACAUUGCAAUUAACAAUGUCUUUAAAACAUAGCUGGGGUUGAAAUACUAUUAUAGAGAAUCAGGUGCCAACUGGUGACCAUGAUGAGUUACAUUGGGGCCUAGUUAGGAACUAUAGCAUAAUAGGUGAUUAACUAAUUAAUUGUCAACUAUAAUCGAUCAUUGGCAGGGGCAGAAUCUCGAUCUUGUAAAUAUGAUAUCACAAUCCCAAAAAGGGUAUAUUUGUGUGUCACGAAGACAAAUGAGCCCAGCUCACAAAGGUAGCGAAAUCUAUAAUUGUUCAGGGACAUGCUCCCCAGAGAUUUUAAAAUAAAUAUGCUUUCAGGGCAAUUUAGUGUUGUAUAUUGUGGAUGAUUUUUGAAAAAUGUUACUGAAAAGGGUAGUAAAAAUGCGAGGGUGGUGGUCAUGGGACUCCCUUCUGGAGCCUUCUGACUGGAACAUCACUAACUAAUAGUAAUAAAAUACUGUAGCCACAUUAUGUAGUAUCCAGACAUCAUUACUGGGGUUUUUUGUUACGAAUCUUAUGCAGUGUUGACUGAAUUAUUCUUAAACUUGACACAGAGAAGCUUUAAGGUGGUCCGUACAAAUGAAUGGAUUAUCAUCUACUAUUAUGGUCUUGUAGUAAUACAAUGCAAUCAUGUAUGUGGUGUACUGUCAGGGUUCGUAUGGCCAUGGAAAGUCGUGGAAUUUGAUAACUAAUUUUCUCAGGCCUGGAAAGUCAUGAAAUUUGAAACAUGCUUAAAACGCUUAAAAUCGAGGAUAUACAUUUUCGAAGCUAUCUUAGAGCUACGGUAUUGUAAAACCGUCCUAAGCUAUGACCAUAAACGUACUCCCAUUUUUCUAGGGGUAGAGGAGGGGGGCACGCCGAUUUUUGCCCAAAUUGAACGAAAAUGCCAGAAUCUGGAUAACAACAUUUAUUCAUAUUAGCAUUACGGCUGCAAAGGAAUCACUGCACACUUGUAUCUGGAUUAUAACCAAUAUUGUGGGUAGAAUGUUACAAAUACAUGGUGAAAUUUUCUCAGGCCAGCUGAUUUUGCCCAAAUUAAUAUCUUAAUCAGGUGUUUUUUUCUGAAUCUAAAUAUUUAUUCAAACGGGGUGGGGGUGGGGGGGGGGGGGGGGGCAAUCUCGUACGCUUAUGGUUAUGAUGUCACAACGGUUUUACGAUACCGUAGAGCUAUUUUCGCUUCACAAAUCUGGCCUUUAUUUUUAAUGAUGAGCCACUAUUGUUUGAGAUAGCGAAUAGAAUAAGGUGGAGAGUGGUUCAGAACCCUUACAUUAUAUAUAUAAUUUUGUUAUUUUAGAGUUCACAUAUAACUUUAAACUUACAUGUGUCUGACUAGUACAAACGCUACAACCUUUUUUUUCAAUCGGACACCACUACCCUGAACACGGGGAUAGGGCCUGGGGUGUCGGGUUUCUUCUUGUAGGUUUUGUACUAAUCACUAACAUGUUAGUUUAAUGUGAGGAAACUGAGACCAGAUUUGUAAAAAUGUGUGUAUUUAAGAUACAGUACGGGUAGGUGGCUACCAUUUGGUUGUUGAAAAUUGAUGAUCUGUUACAUAGAGUUCGCUCUAGCUCUGGCCCACAUAUAAACAGGGUAAGAGGACACUCGAGCUAAUCAGAUAUCUGGAUUGGUCUUUGUUUUGUUUGUUUUUGUUUGCUUUUUCUUAAUUAAAUUCUUGUUUAUUGGCAGAAUAAAUUAUAUAUAUAUAUAGUCUUUAUUCCUCUAAACAGAGAGUUGUAACAUAUAAAUACAUUUCAUCACAUGCAUACAAACAUACAAUAGGUUAAUAAAUUAAACUAUGAUAAAUGUGGGUAAGUUGAUCAUGCAUCGAACCAUGAGUACAUAGUGAUUCAAAUACGAGCAUAUAAAGUUUAUGGGGUAAUACAAUUAUUGCUUGCUAUUGGUAGCUUCAAAGUAUUGUUUGCUUAGUAGAUGAAUAUAAUAGAUAACGGUUUCACAGUAAGUACUUUCUAUCGAGUCAUCAACAUUAAUUGGAGGUUCACAAGAUAAUAUCUUAGUAAUAAAAACAGAAUUGGGAAGAUUGUGAAGAACGACACUGCGUUCCACUGGUCCGAUGUCUAGAAGAGAUGUCCAGAAUUCGUCUCUAAUUUCAGAUAUAGAUUGACAAUGACAUAUAACAUGUAUAAUCAGAAUAGUUUAAGUGACAGAGGGGACACACUCCUUCACAUAACAUAGGUCGCCACGAAGCGCAUACAUUAAUUACAUGAUGUGCGUGUUCUUUUAACAAUGGGUUCACAUGAGACAUUUGCCAUGCUUUGUGGAUAUUUAAAUUGGGAUGAAGUUGCAGAAAAUGGCUAAUGUCUGGCGAAGACGAGAUUUGUGUUUGCCACUUUAAUUCCUCAAAAUCAAACACGCUUUUCUUAACUAGUCGUUUCCAUAUAUGUUUCGAUGGAAAUAUUGACGUAUUAUAGAAAUCAAUCAGGUGAUUUCAAAGUUUGUAUUUACACAUAAUCUUGUGUAUAUCUGUUAUAAAACCUAAAUGAGUUGUAACACAUUUAUUUUUAAAACAUAGCAGCCUACUGGUUAUAACUUUAUGUACCAAGGUCCAAGUUGGGGCCCGUAGGAGGUGACCCAGAAAAUAUAACUUGUGCGUGUCUAUUAUUGCUUCAAUAGAAGUGAUACCAAUCAGUCCCAGGCAGAUGUCUGUUCGAGUUCGUUUGGGCAAACCCUAAAUAUUCUUAAUAGAGAACCUAAAUGCACGUUCUAAUGCUAACAGUUCAUUCCUUGAAAUAUCGUUCCAUAAUUCGCAUCCAUAUAGAGAUGUUCCCAGACAUAGUACCUUUACGAGUUUUACACUUGUGAUUGGGCUGAGACCAGAUGGAUGACAGCCGGAUUGCAGGAGGGCCAUGCUUGUAGAUUUUAUUGUUUUACAUGAUUCCACGUGAUAGGGUCGACUUUGAAUCAGGAGGAACUCGUGUGGAGGGCGUAAUCAACGGAUGAAAUGGGGGUCAUCCCUCAGAACAAAAUUGGAAUAUUGAUCCUUCUUAAGCGCUAUUCUAGCCUGUUUUCUGCUGCUUUCGAUGGAUUUUUAAAAUCUUGCUUUUUCUAUUACUUUAAUAUGAAUUUAUUUGAUCCAGCCUGUGGAAUACGCUGAAAACAGCGUAACUUUAAACAAAAGUGUUUUCUUUAACAACACCACUAGAGUACAUUGAUUUAUUAUUAUUAUCUAUUGGAUGUGUUCAAACUGAGGACACUAAGACAAUUCAAGUAAACUACAAAGGUCGAGUAUACAAUUCUCGCCUAGGGUGUACUUCAAUGAGCCUUCUCUUAUAUUAUUUCUCUAUAAGAUUUUAAUCCGAACUGAGGGCAAGCCAUGCCAUACACGUAUGAGACCGCGGAUGGAGAAACUCCCUGGUAACGCAAAAAAGACACAAUGUGAGUUUUAAGGAUUUGAUUGAUAUAUCGAAAGCCGUGACACAGUUAUGUCUGCCUGGGCUAAUAUUCUGAAAGACGACAUGUUCAACUUUCCCGUUCAUACUGAUUCCUCACAAGCCAUGAUACUUUGCCUACCCGCAUGGGUCUCUCUCCAUCAUGUAACGUUCUCCCCUUAAUCGCCAGAGGUCAAUUUCAAUAAACAUCGCAAGUUCACGUCUGCGACUAGCAUGCCAGGCAAACAUAUACAAGUGUUUAGGAUCAAUUAUACGAAGACAAUUACAUCACUACAAAAAACAAAAAAAGCAUUCCAAGGAGAAAAGAAAAUUAAAUAUGUGUAUAUUUGUUUUACUGUAACAAUAAUGAGACUUGUGGUUUAGUCGUAUAUGUACGUGUAAACCUAGGCUACGAUGUUUUGUAUAUUUGGGUCUAGGCCCUUACUUUGCCCUGCGCUGUGGCAAACUGUGGGACAUUGCCGUCGUUCCUACCGGGAACCCAACAGGACAUCGAUAUGAGAGGUUGUUGGAAUCGAACGGACCGCACCAGCGCUAAUGAGUUAUUCCUAGGUUCCAAUAUGUGUUUACCAGUAUAAUUUUAUAAAAUAUAAUACUGUAAAAAAAAAAAAAAAAACCCAGCAACAUAAAAACAAAAACACGUUUGAUGGGGAGGGAUUUUAGCACAGGGAACCCUAAACUCAACAUUUUCACUCUUUGUUCCAUCACAAAUCUUGCAGGUUACUUUAUUAUAUGAUCUAUACCAAACGUGUUCGUCCUUCAGAAGCUUUGGGCUGGGUAUUUGAUACACAUCGUGCGUUAUCGUAAUAAAACUAUUCAAAAAUAAAUUAACGCCAACAUUAACGCUGUAUUUCGCCAUGAUAGUCGUCGAUAAUUUAGGAAUUAGUGUUUAGGAAAUACCGAGGUAAAUAGAAAUCAUUGUUUUUACUCAUUAUUCUGUCUUUGAGAAGAUUUUGUAUUUAUUUUGAUAAAUUUCUAGAGCAAUGUUAUGGUGUAAGGGGAAUAACUCUUAUUUAUGUUUUAGCCAAUAACAUGGAAAGAUUGAGUUACCACUUACAUUGUGUAUAUAAUUGUUAACUGCAAAUAUGCAAUUUUACUCAAUAUUUAAUUUAUGUUGAAAAAAAAGUGUUUUAAACAGAAAAUAGAAAGCCAUAUUACAACAUUCCAUAACAAUUAUGGUCGUUUACUGAUACUGCCCGAAUAGCCUGCGUUGUAUCUUAGGGCCUAAAUAUUGUUACCACAAUGUGGAACUACCAUAUCUGUUUCAUUCUGCAGAUGUGAGAUUUUUAAAUUGUUGCCAAUGCUGGGGUUUAUUAAAAACAAAAUAUGGUGCUAUUUUUGGAUAUUGACUGUGUAAUAAAAUAUAUUAAAAUAAACAUAGUAUUACACGUU